UACGAAGGGGGCUAGCGUUGCUCGGAAUUACUGGGCGUAAAGCGCACGUAGGCGGAUCGUUAAGUCAGGGGUGAAAUCCUGGAGCUCAACUCCAGAACUGCCUUUGAUACUGGCGACCUUGAGUUCGGGAGAGGUGAGUGGAACUGCGAGUGUAGAGGUGAAAUUCGUAGAUAUUCGCAAGAACACCAGUGGCGAAGGCGGCUCACUGGCCCGAUACUGACGCUGAGGUGCGAAAGCGUGGGGAGCAAACAGG
rnacentral:rRNA from 1 species